UGUAUUGACUUAUACAAAAUGUGAUAUUAGAAUCUAGUGUGUGCUUUCACACUAUGGCAAUAAAGGCAUCUUAAAAUAAAUGUAUUGGACCCGAGGGCAGUGCUCGGCAUCUCCACAUUUUAUGGGGGUGAAACAGGAUCGACAUGCAUAGUAAAGGGGAUAGCUUUUGCUCGGUGAGACAACAGCCGUAAAAUGCUCAAAAUUAUAAGUGCAAACGAUAACUUCGUUUUCGCUAAUGAUAAUAAUAGCAACACUAGCUUAGUGGCUGCUUAGUUUUAUGAUUAGCGCGGUUUUUUAGAGGGUUUUCCGGGCAACAGAAAAAUCCUCUU
rnacentral:tmRNA from 1 species